rnacentral:lncRNA from 1 species
UUUUUUCCUGGAUAAUUUCAUAACUCCAUGGAGCACCGCCACCAGAAGAUGAGAGAGCACCUUCGGUUUUCACAAGUGGUUGAAGAUCACCGCAAUAAUCAGUUGGAUUCCUUAUCUGCACGGUUGACUAGCUUGCAGUUUCUGAUGGAUGAUGGACAUGGGCGUGGUGGGUAUGGUCGGGGUAGGCAGGAUGGACGAGGUGGUUGGAACCAAUGCCAAAGUCG